AAGUACUGCUACUAAUAUAGGUAAGAGGGUUGUUGUUGGUUGUUGCUUUUGUUUGAAGCAACCUUCUACUUUGGAAUCUCCUGCUGAGUCUCAAACAAGUGAUCCUAAUGAUCCUAACUUCACCUUUGAUAAGUUGAGGACUUUGAUUGAGACGAAUGAUUUCUAUUCCAAAGAAUGCAACCACCAUUGAAAUGCUACUUCUUUCUCCUCUUCUAAUAAAAAUUCUGGGUGAAAGUUAAGGGUUUUUGCUAAAUUGAUUUGAAAUCAAGCUUCAGAGAGGUUGCAGCCUUGCGGG
rnacentral:misc_RNA from 1 species